rnacentral:rRNA from 1 species
GUCCACGCCCUAAACUAUGAUCACUCGAUGUUGGCGAUACACAGUCAGCGUCUAAGGGAAACCAUUAAGUGAUCCACCUGGGGAGUACGACCGCAAGGUUGAAACUCAAAGGAAUUGACGGGGGCCCGCACAAGCGGAGGAGCAUGUGGUUUAAUUCGAUGAUACGCGAGGAACCUUACCUGGGCUUGAAAGUUAGUGAAUCUCGCAGAAACGCGAGAGACCGAAAGGACACGAAACUAGGUGCUGCAUGGCUGUCGU